rnacentral:tRNA from 1 species
GGCGGCAUGGCCGAGCGGUAAGGCGGGGGACUGCAAAUCCCUUUUUCCCCAGUUCAAAUCCGGGUGCCGCCUCAUCAACAAACAAA